rnacentral:rRNA from 1 species
CUACGGGAUGCAGCAGUGAGGAAUAUUGCACAAUGGGGGAAACUCUGAUGCAGCAACGCCGCGUGGAGGAUGACGCAUUUCGGUGUGUAAACUCCUUUUAUAUGUCAAGAAAAUGACGGUAGCAUAUGAAUAAGCACCGGCUAACUCCGUGCCAGCAGCCGCGGUAAUACGGAGGGUGCAAGCGUUACUCGGAAUCACUGGGCGUAAAGGACGCGUAGGCGGGAUAGAAAGUCAGGUGUGAAAUCCUACAGCUUAACUGUAGAACUGCACUUGAAACUGGUAACCUAGAGUAUGGGAGGGGGAGAUGGAAUUAGUGGUGUAGGGGUAAAAUCCGUAGAUAUCACUAGGAAUACCUAAAGCGAAGGCGAUCUCCUGGAACAUAACUGACGCUAAGGCGUGAAAGCGUGGGGAGCAAACAGGAUUAGAUACCCCAGUAGUC